CCCUAUCUGUCGCGGGCGUAGGAAAUUUGAGAGGGGCUGUCCUUAGUACGAGAGGACCGGGAUGGACGCACCGCUGGUGUACCAGUUGUUCCGCCAGGAGCAUCGCUGGGUAGCCAAGUGCGGGAGGGAUAAGCGCUGAAAGCAUCUAAGCGCGAAGCCCGCCUCAAGAUGAGAUUUCCCAAUAAGUAAGACCCCUUGGAGAACACGAGGUUGAUAGGCUCGGGGUGUAAGCACAGUAAUGUGUGUAGCUGACGAGUACUAAUCGGUCGAGGGCUUAUCCU
rnacentral:rRNA from 1 species